rnacentral:rRNA from 1 species
GCUGGUUGCCUGUGAAACGAAUCUAAGUUCUCCUUUAAUCUCACCCCCUCAAGACUUAAACACUUGCUCGUACCAGAUUAAAAGCAAUUUAAAGGAGGAACAGCUCCUUUAAAAAAGGAUACAACCUCUUCCAGAGGAUAAGCACUUACUUCACAAACUUGUAGGCCUUUAAGCAGCCACCACCAGAGAAUGCGUCAAAGCUCAACCCUCCCAAAAAUCCAAAAACAAAUGCGACUCCCUCACCCAUAACAGGCUAACCUAUCAAAAAUAGGAGUAUCAAUGCUAAAAUAAGUAACUAAGGACAUUCCUUCUAAAGCACAAACUUACAUCUCACAUUAUUAACAGACCCACCAAUACCCACACCGCUACAGGACCCAGUAUUCAACAGCCCUGUUAGACCAACCCAGGAGUGCUUAACUAGAAAGAUUUAAACCUGUAAAAGGAACUAGGCAAAUUCCAAGGCCCGACUGUUUACCAAAAACAUAGCCUUCAGCCCACCAAGUAUUGAAGGUGAUGCCUGCCCAGUGACAUUAAGUUUAACGGCCGCGGUAUCCUAACCGUGCAAAGGUAGCGCAAUCAAUUGUCCCAUAAAUCGAGACUUGUAUGAACGGCCAAACGAGGUCUUGACUGUCUCUUGCAGGUAAUCAGUGAAAUUGAUCUCCCCAUGCAAAAGUGGGGAUAAACCCAUAAGACGAGAAGACCCUGUGGAACUUAAAAACCAGCAGCCACUCUAAACCAAACCAAAACCCACCAGGCCCACUGCCCUAGACAAUUGGCUCGCAUUUUUUCGGUUGGGGCGACCUUGGAGAAAAGUACAUCCUCCAAAAACAAGACCAUCCCUCUUAACCAAGACCAACCACUCGACGUACUAAUAGUACCCAGACCCAGCAUCAAGCUGACCAAUGAACCAAGCUACCCCAGGGAUAACAGCGCAAUCCCCUUCAAGAGCCCAUAUCGACA